rnacentral:rRNA from 1 species
GACGAACGCUGGCGGCGUGCUUAACACAUGCAAGUCGAACGGAAAGGCCCUGCUUUUGUGGGUUGCUCGAUUGGCGAACGGGUGAGAAACACGCGAGUAACCUGUCCUUGACUGUGGGAUAACUUCAGGAAACUGGGGCUAAUACCGGAUAGGAUCUCCUGCUGCAUGGUGUGGGUUGGAAAGUUUCGGCGGUUGGGGAUGGACUCGCGGCUUAUCAGCUUGUUGGUGGGGUAGUGGCUGACCAAGGCUUUGACGGGUAGCCGGCCUGAGAGGGUGACCGGCCACAUUGGGACUGAGAUACGGCCCAGACUCCUACGGGAGGCAGCAGUGGGGAAUAUUGCACAAUGGGCGGAAGCCUGAUGCAGCAACGCCGCGUGCGGGAUGACGGCCUUCGGGUUGUAAACCGCUUUCGCCUGUGACGAAGCGUGAGUGACGGUAAUGGGUAAAGAAGCACCGGCUAACUACGUG